AACGAACGCUGGCGGUAUGCCUAACACAUGCAAGUCGAACGAGAUCUUCGGGUCUAGUGGCGCACGGGUGCGUAACGCGUGGGAAUCUGCCCUUUGGUUCGGAAUGACAGUUGGAAACGACUGCUAAUACCGGAUGAUGACGAAAGUCCAAAGAUUUAUCGCCAGAGGAUGAGCCCGCGUAGGAUUAGCUAGUUGGUGUGGUAAAGGCGCACCAAGGCGACGAUCCUUAGCUGGUCUGAGAGGAUGAUCAGCCACACUGGGACUGAGGCACGGCCCAGACUCCUACGGGAGGCAGCAGUGGGGAAUAUUGGACAAUGGGCGAAAGCCUGAUCCAGCAAUGCCGCGUGAGUGAUGAAGGCCUUAGGGUUGUAAAGCUCUUUUACCCGGGAUGAUAACGACAGUACCGGGAGAAUAAGCUCCGGCUAACUCCGUGCCAGCAGCCGCCGUAA
rnacentral:rRNA from 1 species